AGCCCAGAGCCUGAAUCAGUGUGUGUGUUAGUGGAAGCGUCUGGAAAGGCGCGCGAUACAGGGUGACAGCCCCGUACACAAAAAUGCACAUGCUGUGAGCUCGAUGAGUAGGGCGGGACACGUGGUAUCCUGUCUGAAUAUGGGGGGACCAUCCUCCAAGGCUAAAUACUCCUGACUGACCGAUAGUGAACCAGUACCGUGAGGGAAAGGCGAAAAGAACCCCGGCGAGGGGAGUGAAAAAGAACCUGAAACCGUGUACGUACAAGCAGUGGGAGCACGCUUAGGCGUGUGACUGCGUACCUUUUGUAUAAUGGGUCAGCGACUUAUAUUCUGUAGCAAGGUUAACCGAAUAGGGGAGCCGAAGGGAAACCGAGUCUUAACUGGGCGUUAAGUUGCAGGGUAUAGACCCGAAACCCGGUGAUCUAGCCAUGGGCAGGUUGAAGGUUGGGUAACACUAACUGGAGGACCGAACCGACUAAUGUUGAAAAAUUAGCGGAUGACUUGUGGCUGGGGGGGAAAGGCCAAUCAAACCGGGAGAUAGCUGGUUCUCCCCGAAAGCUAUUUAGGUAGCGCCUCGUGAACUCAUCUCCGGGGGUAGAGCACUGUUUCGGCAAGGGGGUCAUCCCGACUUACCAACCCGAUGCAAACUGCGAAUACCGGAGAAUGUUAUCACGGGAGACACACGGCGGGUGCUAACGUCCGUCGUGAAGAGGGAAACAACCCAGACCGCCAGCUAAGGUCCCAAAGUCAUGGUUAAGUGGGAAACGAUGUGGGAAGGCCCAGACAGCCAGGAUGUUGGCUUAGAAGCAGCCAUCAUUUAAAGAAAGCGUAAUAGCUCACUGGUCGAGUCGGCCUGCGCGGAAGAUGUAACGGGGCUAAACCAUGCACCGAAGCUGCGGCAGCGACGCUUAUGCGUUGUUGGGUAGGGGAGCGUUCUGUAAGCCUGUGAAGGUGUGCUGUGAGGCAUGCUGGAGGUAUCAGAAGUGCGAAUGCUGACAUAAGUAACGAUAAAGCGGGUGAAAAGCCCGCUCGCCGGAAGACCAAGGGUUCCUGUCCAACGUUAAUCGGGGCAGGGUGAGUCGACCCCUAAGGCGAGGCCGAAAGGCGUAGUCGAUGGGAAACAGGUUAAUAUUCCUGUACUUGGUGUUACUGCGAAGGGGGGACGGAGAAGGCUAUGUUGGCCGGGCGACGGUUGUCCCGGUUUAAGCGUGUAGGCUGGUUUUCCAGGCAAAUCCGGAAAAUCAAGGCUGAGGCGUGAUGACGAGGCACUACGGUGCUGAAGCAACAAAUGCCCUGCUUCCAGGAAAAGCCUCUAAGCAUCAGGUAACAUCAAAUCGUACCCCAAACCGACACAGGUGGUCAGGUAGAGAAUACCAAGGCGCUUGAGAGAACUCGGGUGAAGGAACUAGGCAAAAUGGUGCCGUAACUUCGGGAGAAGGCACGCUGAUAUGUAGGUGAAGCGACUUGCUCGUGGAGCUGAAAUCAGUCGAAGAUACCAGCUGGCUGCAACUGUUUAUUAAAAACACAGCACUGUGCAAACACGAAAGUGGACGUAUACGGUGUGACGCCUGCCCGGUGCCGGAAGGUUAAUUGAUGGGGUUAGCGCAAGCGAAGCUCUUGAUCGAAGCCCCGGUAAACGGCGGCCGUAACUAUAACGGUCCUAAGGUAGCGAAAUUCCUUGUCGGGUAAGUUCCGACCUGCACGAAUGGCGUAAUGAUGGCCAGGCUGUCUCCACCCGAGACUCAGUGAAAUUGAACUCGCUGUGAAGAUGCAG
rnacentral:rRNA from 1 species